rnacentral:rRNA from 1 species
UUAAGAAAUUAAAGGCUUGUAAGGGAUCCCUUGGUAUCCAGAAGCGAUGAAGGACGUGGCUACCGGCGAAACGUUUCGGGGAGUUGGAAGUAAGCUUUGAUCCGAAAGUAUCCGAAUGAGGAAACUCUAUAACUUCUUACUGAAUCUAUAAGUAAAGAAAGAGCAAACCUAGGGAAUUGAAACAUCUUAGUACCUAGAGGAAAAGAAAGUAAAAACGAUUCCCGGAGUAGUGGCGAACGAAAUGGGAACAGCCUAAACUUUUAAUCUUAGUAUUAAAAGAGUUGUGGGAUGAAGAAAACAGUAAUUUUUUCUAGAAAUUAGGUGAAAUAACUGGAAAGUUAUACCAAAGAAAGUGAUAGUCUUGUAACCAAAAAUUUCUUACAAAUUAUUUAUUCCCGAGUAGCAUGGGGCACGUGGAAUCCCGUGUGAAUCUGCGAGGACCACCUCGUAAGGCUAAAUAUUCCUGGAUGUCCGAUAGCGAAUAGUACCGCGAGGGAAAGGUGAAAAGAACCCCGGGAGGGGAGUGAAAUAGAACGUGAAAUUGCAAGCCCACAAACAGAAGGAGAACGACUUAGCGUUUAACUUCGUGCCUGUUGAAGAAUGUUCCGGCGACUUAUAGUUAGUGGCAGGUUAAAAUAGAGAUAUUGGAGCCAUAGUGAAAGCGAGCUUGAAUAGAGCGUUUGUCACUAGUUAUAGACCCGAACCCGGUUGAUCUAACCAUGGCCAGGAUGAAACUUAGGUAAUACUAUGUGGAGGUCCGAACCGACUGAUGUUGAAAAAUCAGCGGAUGAGUUGUGGUUAGGGGUGAAAUGCCAAUCGAAACCGGAGCUAGCUGGUUCUCCCCGAAAUGUAUUUAGGUGCAGCGGUUAAUAUUAUAGCGUAGGGGUAAAGCACUGUUUCGGUGCGGGCUGGUAAUUCGGUACCAAAUCGAGGCAAACUCUGAAUACUACGUGUACAGUUAACCAGUAAGACUAUGGGGGAUAAGCUUCAUAGUCAAGAGGGAAACAGCCCAGAUCACCAGCUAAGGCCCCUAAAUAAUUACUGAGUGAUAAAGGAAGUGGAAAGGCUUAGACAACCAGGAGGUUUGCUUAGAAGCAGCAAUCCUUUAAAAAGUGCGUAAUAGCUUACUGGUCUAGCAAUUCUGCGCCGAAAACUUACGGGACUAAGUAAUUUGCCGAAGCUGUGAGAUAAUAAAAAAUUUAUCUUUUCAGAUAAAAAAAAUUAUCGGUAGGGGAGCGUUCUGUGGUAGGUUGAAGUGUUAGCGAAAGCGGGCAUGGACGAAACAGAAGUGAGAAUGUCGGAUUGAGUAGCGAAAACAUUGGUGAGAAUCCAAUGCUCCGAAAACCUAAGGUUUCCUCCGCAAGGCUCGUCCACGGAGGGUGAGUCAGGUCCUAAGGUGAGGCUGAGAAGCGUAGUUGAUGGACAAUAGGUUAAUAUUCCUAUACUGAUUAUUACUGGUAUCGAGGGACGAAGAAGGCUAAACUAGCCAGAGAUUGGUUACUGGUUUAAGUAAUUGAGGUGUUGAAGACUAGAGAAAAUAGUCGGAGCUAAAAUACGAAUACAAGAUUUUAAAAAUCAAAGUAGUUGAUGUCAUACUUCCAAGAAAAGCUCGCUAUGCCUUAAGUAAUAAUCACCUGUACCUUAAACCGACACAGGUAGGUAGGUAGAGAAUACCAAGGAGCGCGGGAGAACCCUCCUUAAGGAACUCGGCAAAAUAGCUCUGUAACUUCGGAAGAAAGAGUGCCUUUUAGGCUGCAAUAUCAAGUUCCAAGCAACUGUUUAGCAAAAACACAGGUCUCCGCUAAGUUGUAAAACGACGUAUGGGGGCUGACGCCUGCCCAGUGCCGGAAGGUUAAAGAAGUCGGUUAGCGUAAGCAAAGCUGGUAACUGAAGCCCCGGUGAACGGCGGCCGUAACUAUAACGGUCCUAAGGUAGCGAAAUUCCUUGUCGGGUAAGUUCCGACCCGCACGAAUGGCGUAAUGAUUUGGAAGCUGUCUCGAGGAGGGACUCGGUGAAAUAGAACUGUCUGUGAAGAUGCGGACUACCUGCGCCUGGACAGUAAGACCCUAUGAAGCUUUACUGUAUCCUGAAAUUGGAUUUCGAUUUUUCUUGCGCAGAAUAGGUGGGAGACUAUGAGGCUAAUCUUUCGGGAAUAGCGGAGUCAUCAGUGAGAUACCACUCUGGAAAAAUUAAAAUUCUAACUUCAUACCGUAAGCCGGUUGAAAGACAGUUUCAGGUGGGCAGUUUGACUGGGGCGGUCGCCUCCCAAAAGGUAACGGAGGCGUACAAAGGUUUCCUCAGAUCGGUCAGAAAUCGAUCUUAGAGUGCAAAGGCAAAAGGAAGCUUAACUGUGAGACAAACAAGUCGAGCAGGGACGAAAGUCGGUCUUAGUGAUCUGACGAUGCUGUGUGGAAAGGUCGUCACUCAACGGAUAAAAGUUACUCUAGGGAUAACAGGCUGAUCUCCCCCAAGAGUUCUUAUCGACGGGGAGGUUUGGCACCUC